rnacentral:rRNA from 1 species
UACGUAGGGUGCAAGCGUUUGUCCGGAAUUACUGGGCGUAAAGAGCUCGUAGGCGGUUUGUCGCGUCGUCUGUGAAAUCCCGCAGCUCAACUGCGGGCUUGCAGGCGAUACGGGGCAGACUUGAGUACUGCAGGGGAGACUGGAAUUCCUGGUGUAGCGGUGAAAUGCGCAGAUAUCGGGAGGAACAUCUGUGGCGAAGGCGACUGCCUGGACCAGCACUGACGCUGAGGCGCGAAAGCUGGGGGAGCAAACGGG